rnacentral:rRNA from 1 species
UACGGAGGGUGCAAGCAUUGAUCGGAAUUACUGGGCGUAAAGGGCGCGUAGGCGGUUCAGAAAGUCAGAUGUGAAAUUCCGGGGCUCAACCCCGGAGCUGCAUUUGAAACUCCUGAGCUUGAGUACAGUUAGGGUAAACGGAAUUCCACGUGUAGCGGUGAAAUGCGUAGAUAUGUGGAAGAACACCGGUGGUGAAAACGGUUUACUGGACUGAAACUGACGCUGAGGCGCGAAAGCAUGGGGAGCAAACAGG